rnacentral:misc_RNA from 1 species
AAGUCGUAACAAGGUCUCCGUAGGUGAACCUGCGGAGGGAACGAGUUUAACGCUAACGCGUUUCACUUGAAAAAAUAAGAAAUUAACGCACAACUCUUAGCAACGGAUAUCUAGGCUCUC